rnacentral:rRNA from 1 species
UGGGGGAUAUUGCACAAUGGGCGAAAGCCUGAUGCAGCGACGCCGCGUGGGGGAUGAAGGCCUUCGGGUUGUAAACUUCUUUUGCUCUGAACAAGGCAUGCUAAUGGGUGUGUUGAGUGUAGGGGUUGAUUAGCGCCGGCUAACUACGUGCCAGCAGCCGCGGUAAUACGUCGGGCGCGAGCGUUGUCCGGAAUUAUUGGGCGUAAAGGGCUUGUAGGUGGCUGGUUGCGUCUGUCGUGAAAGCUCAUGGCUUAACUGUGGGUUUGCGGUGGGUACGGGCUGGCUUGAGUGCAGUAGGGGAGGCUGGAAUUCCUGGUGUAGCGGUGGAAUGCGCAGAUAUCAGGAGGAAUACCGGUGGCGAAGGCGGGUCUCUGGGCUGUUACUGACACUGAGGAGCGAAAGCAUGGGGAGCGAACAGG